rnacentral:rRNA from 1 species
GAUGAACGCUGGCGGCGUGCCUAAUACAUGCCAGUCGAGCGAACAGACGAGGCGCUUGCUCCUCUGACGUUAGCGGCGGACGGGUGAGUAACACGUGUAUACCCUCCCUAUAAGACUGGGAUAACUUCGGGAAACCGGCGCUAAUACCGGAUAAUAUAUUGAACCGCAUGGUUCAAUAGUGAAAGACGGUUGUGCUGUCACUUAUAGAUGGAUCCGCGCGGGUUUAGCUGGUUGGUAGGGUCACGGCUUACCAAGGCGACGAGGCGUGUCCGAACGGUGAGAGGGGUAGGCGACAUGGGAAGUGAGACACGGUCCAGGGUCCUAAGGGAGGGAGCAGUAUGGAAUCUGACGCAGUGGUCGAAAGCCUGACGGAGCAACGCCACGUGUGUGAUGAAGGUCUCCGGAUCGUAAAACUGUGUUAUUAGGGAAGAACAAAUGUGUAAGUAACUGUACACUUCUUGACGGUACCUAAUCAGAAAGCCACGGCUAACUACGUG